CACGUAGGGACCGAGCGUUGUCCGGAAUCAUUGGGCGUAAAGAGCGUGUAGGCGGCCCCUUAAGUCCUGCGUGAAAUCCUGCGGCUCAACCGCAGACGGUCGUGGGAAACUGGAGGGCUAGAGUGCGGGAGAGGAGAGUGGAAUUCCCGGUGUAGCGGUGAAAUGCGCAGAUAUCGGGAAGAACACCCGUGGCGAAGGCGGCUCUCUGGAACGCAACUGACGCUGAGACGCGAAAGCGUGGGGAGCAAACAGG
rnacentral:rRNA from 1 species